AUGUGGACUCUUCCCCUUUACAACGUGAUGCUCGGGAGGGCUCGUGCCUUGGUUUCCCCUCUAGCACCACGGAGCAAGCUGCCCCUCCUGCUGGCUUGGGGGACCCGAGGGCCCGGGGCCGCGCUUGCUGGGACUCUGGGUGUGACCAGCCCCGCCCCCACCUGGGCUAGGGACCGGCAUCGGAAGGUUUCGGUCCAUGACAGGCACGUCCGUGGGGCGAGCGGGGGCCCGUGUCAGCCCUGCGUCAGCCAGAACAGGAAGCUGCGGCCGGGAGCGCCCCACCCUGCGGGGCCCCUGCGGCCACCACACCUGUCCCCGGAGCCACACAAGCACCGCAGGGGAGGCAGCCCCCGCCCUCAGGCUUCCUGGGCUCCCAGCACCCACCGCCGCACCCCCUGGCCUACGGGGGCUCCCCCGGCUCCAGCUGCCUCGCCUCUGGGUGCUCUGCUGGUUUCCGGGGCCCCAUUUCCGCCCCCGCCCCGGGCAGACUCAUGUUUUACUUUGCAGAGUCUUGGGGAGCAGAGCAUCUGGGGGUGGACGCAGCCUGGGCCCGAUUCCUCCGAGUGGAAACCAGCGGAGGGCACAGCGACCUCACAGCGACCCGGGGAAUCUGGACCCAUUCCGCAAGCCGUGGGAUCUGCCCCCGCCAGGUUAAAUGUCAGACUCCUCAGAGAAUCAGGGCCUGGAGGCCCCCAGAGCCUGCAGGACGCCUGGACCGUGGAGCCAAGACUCAGAAUUACAGGAGUGACUUGCCCGAGGUCUCUCUGGGGUCUUAAGGGCAGAACCAGGAGCACAACCAAAGAACCUCCCGGAAGCAGGGCUGUUACAGACUAGCAUCUGCCCCUGGGGUUGUCUGCUGCCUUCGCGGCCUGGCUGUGGCACCCCUCGUCCUCCCGCCUCCCCAUUUUCAGAGUGUGGGUGACGUCCUGCUGCUGGGAGCAGAAGGCUUGGGGUGGGGCCAAGAGGAGGCGGCCCAGAACCAAGGGCUCCACAUCCUCCAGUGCCCCUGGGCCAGAGGGGCUUCGCUCUGGACACCACCCCCGGCC
rnacentral:lncRNA from 12 species